GACGAACCGUGCGAACGUUGUUCGGAAUCACUGGGCUUAAAGGGCGCGUAGGCGGGCCACCCAGUCCGGGGUGAAAUCUUUCGGCUCAACCGGAAAAGGGCCUUGGAUACUGGUGGUCUGGAGGGAGGUAGGGGCAUGCGGAACUUCCGGUGGAGCGGUGAAAUGCGUUGAUAUCGGAAGGAACGCCGGUGGCGAAAGCGGCGUGCUGGACCUCUGCUGACGCUGAGGCGCGAAAGCCAGGGGAGCGAACAGG
rnacentral:rRNA from 1 species